rnacentral:rRNA from 1 species
UGCAAGUCGAGCGGACAGAAGGGAGCUUGCUCCCGGAUGUUAGCGGCGGACGGGUGAGUAACACGUGGGUAACCUGCCUGUAAGACUGGGAUAACUCCGGGAAACCGGAGCUAAUACCGGAUAGUUCCUUGAACCGCAUGGUUCAAGGAUGAAAGACGGUUUCGGCUGUCACUUACAGAUGGACCCGCGGCGCAUUAGCUAGUUGGUGGGGUAAUGGCUCACCAAGGCGACGAUGCGUAGCCGACCUGAGAGGGUGAUCGGCCACACUGGGACUGAGACACGGCCCAGACUCCUACGGGAGGCAGCAGUAGGGAAUCUUCCGCAAUGGACGAAAGUCUGACGGAGCAACGCCGCGUGAGUGAUGAAGGUUUUCGGAUCGUAAAGCUCUGUUGUUAGGGAAGAACAAGUGCGAGAGUAACUGCUCGCACCUUGACGGUACCUAACCAGAAAGCCACGGCUAACUACGUGCCAGCAGCCGCGGUAAUACGUAGGUGGCAAGCGUUGUCCGGAAUUAUUGGGCGUAAAGGGCUCGCAGGCGGUUUCUUAAGUCUGAUGUGAAAGCCCCCGGCUCAACCGGGGAGGGUCAUUGGAAACUGGGAAACUUGAGUGCAGAAGAGGAGAGUGGAAUUCCACGUGUAGCGGUGAAAUGCGUAGAGAUGUGGAGGAACACCAGUGGCGAAGGCGACUCUCUGGUCUGUAACUGACGCUGAGGAGCGAAAGCGUGGGGAGCGAACAGGAUUAGAUACCCUGGUAGUCCACGCCGUAAACGAUGAGUGCUAAGUGUUAGGGGGUUUCCGCCCCUUAGUGCUGCAGCUAACGCAUUAAGCACUCCGCCUGGGGAGUACGGUCGCAAGACUGAAACUCAAAGGAAUUGACGGGGGCCCGCACAAGCGGUGGAGCAUGUGGGUUUAAUUCGAAGCAACGCGAAGAACCUUACCAGGUCUUGAC